AAGUCGUAACAAGGUUUCCGUAGGUGAACCUGCGGAAGGAUCAUUACCGAAGUACAGGCCCUCUGGGGCGUACACUUCCACCCUUUGUUUACCACACACGUUGCUUUGGCGGGCCGCCUAGCUACUGGCUUCGGCUGGUAAGUGCCCGCCGGAGAACCCCAAACCCAAACCAUUUUACCGUGUCGUCUGAAUACAAGUUUAAAUAUUUAAAA
rnacentral:misc_RNA from 1 species